rnacentral:rRNA from 1 species
CCUACGGGGGACAGCAGUGAGGAAUAUUGGUCAAUGGACGCAAGUCUGAACCAGCCAUGCCGCGUGCAGGAAGACGGCUCUAUGAGUUGUAAACUGCUUUUGUACGAGGGUAAACGCAGAUACGCGGAUCUGUCUGAAAGUAUCGUACGAAUAAGGAUAGGCUAACUCCGUGCCAGCAGCCGCGGGAAUACGGAGGAUUCAAGCGUUAUCCGGAUUUAGUGGGUUUAAAGGGUGCGUAGGCGGUCGGAUAAGUUAGAGGUGAAAUCCCGAGGCUCAACUUCGGACUUGCCUCUGAUACUGUUCUGCUAGAGCGUAGUUGCGGUAGGCGGAAUGUCUGGUGUAGCGGUGAAAUGCUUA